AACAUACUCCCUCCGUCCGAAAAUACUUGUCAUCAAAAUGACUAAAAAGAGAUGUAUCUAGAACUAAAAUAUGUCUAGAUACAUCCCCUUCUAUCCAUUUUGAUGACAAGUAUUUCCGGACGGAGGGAGUAUGUG
rnacentral:pre_miRNA from 1 species